GGGCUAUUAGCUCAGUUGGUUAGGGCGCUUCCUUGACAUGGAAGAGGUCAGUGGUUCGAAUCCACUAUAGCCCACCA
rnacentral:tRNA from 1 species